rnacentral:lncRNA from 1 species
AGGUUUCCAAAUCUUUCCGAUUUGGAAUUUUUGUCGAAUUUAGAGCUCGUGAACUGCGAUGGGCUGAAGAAAUUGGAUGGACUGGGAUCUUUAAAAUCCCUAAGAGUGUUGCACCUAAGCCUAUUAUCUGCUGAAAGGGUGGAUCAUCUCCAUGCGAUAGAAGGCCUUCCAAAAUUGGGAUCCCUGGAAGUGGUGGAUAUCUCUGGGCGCAAGCACAUUCAAGUACUGAACCUCUCUCACCAGGAGCGUCUACAGAGGCUCAACCUUGAUCGUUGCGACUCUCUUCAAAGCAUCCGAUUGUUCUAUCACCUCAAGCAUCUACAGGAGCUCAUACUUGAAUCUCGCGAGUCUCUUCAAAGCAUCCCAUCGCUCUCUCACCUGGAGCGUCUACAGAGGCUCUACCUUUAUCAUUGCGGCUCUCUUCAAAGCAUCCCAUCGCUCUCUCACCUCAAGCAUCUACAGGAGCUCAUGCUUAUCUCUUGCCGCUCUCUUCAAAGCAUCCCAUCGCUCUCUCACCUGGAGCAUCUACAGGUGCUCUACCUUGAGUCUUGCGAAUCUCUUCAAGAGAUCCCAGAGCUUCCCUCCUGCAUACAAAUGCUUCACGUUUUGAGUUGUCCCAAAGUGGAAAGGUUUCCAAAUCUUUCCGAUUUGGAAUUUUUGUCGGAUUUAGUGCUCGUGAACUGCGAUGGGCUGAAGAAAUUGGAUGGACUGGGAUCUUUAAAAUCCCUAGGAGUGUUGCACCUAAGUCUAUUAUCUGCUGAAAGGGUGGAUCAUCUCCAUGCGAUAGAAGGCCUUGAAAAAUUGGGAUGCCUGGAAUUGGUGAAUAUCUCUAGGCGCAAGCACAUUCAAGUACUAGACCUUUCAAAGUUGGAGCAUCUAAAGUGGUUG